AAUUCAAGUAUGUUGAAUUUACAUCGAGAUCGAGAGUCGCCAUUUUUACUUGUAAACAAAGUGGACGACAUGAAAAUACGGGACUGGUGAUGGUGUUUAAAAGACUAUCCAAGGCAAGUGAAGAGAGGAUAUCAGUAGUAAAUUGCAUGAAGAAUUUAAAAUUAAAAGCGGUGGGAGUCCUAAGCUUAAAGCAGACUCUUGUUACCACAUGGCUUUUACCUGUUGAUUAUUGUGGUUUCAGCUCUUGAGGUUAACCUGUCACCUCUACCCACAUGCAUAUUCCUUGUGUUCUACAGACUAUCUACCGGUAAUUCAAAUUAAAUCGGAUAUUAAAUGCAUGAACAAUAAUGGAACUUUAAGAAAGCAUCAUGUCCUAUUGUGGUUUGUUCAUGUUUGAUAAGAAAUUAUGAAAAACAAAAUUAAGGCUGUUUAAAGAAAUAUAAUUGUUGUGAAAAUUUGUUUUUCAAUAAAAGUAUGCAAUUA